ACAUUGGUAGUUCAGUGGUAGAAUUCUUGCCUUCCAUGUGGGAUAUUCAGGUUUGAUUCCCAGCCAAUGUA
rnacentral:tRNA from 1 species